rnacentral:sRNA from 12 species
CGCCUAAACUCACGGUUACGUCCGUGGGCAUGGCAUAAAAACUAUUUGCACAUAGAGAUGGUCAUCCGUCUUGCUUCUGUGCAAAUAGUUACUGCCCGAAAGGGUAGUAGGUAGCUUCCGCAAGGGACUACC